GAAGCAGGUACCGCGAAGGGCACAGGGAGCUUGCCCGGGCUUCCUGCUCUCUGGUCGCUCGCGCUCGCCUCCCGGCCGCCUCGCCUCCCCUAGAGCAGCUCCUGCACCCAGUUCUUGCACUCCGUAGCGGCCGAGCCCCUCGCAGCCUCACCCUUUCGCACACCGCGCGCCUUCCCGGGUGUCAGCGGACUGGCUUCCGUCCGGCCUCCGCCAGUUCUCGACCCGGCGAGGUGACCCGCCCCAGGGUCCCCGGCGCGAGGACUAGGCGGGCCGUGCACCCGAGCUGCUUCCGCAGAGCCGUCUGCGGCGGGCCCGGGCGGGGACCACGGAGCCCCGUGCACCAGCAACCCCCGUGCCGCCGCGGGACAAGGAGGAAACAGGAACAGCUGGUUUUGUGGGCAGACCCUGGGCUGGAGCUAGAGCCAGGGUAGAGGAAGCAAUAACAACAUCUCUUAUAUUUGCAAGAGAGCUUUGUGCUUUCCAAAACGCACUCACAAAUACCCUCCACGGCUUAUGUUACUUCCUGUAAGGUGGGCAGGUAUUAGGGACCCCUUUUUACAAGUGAGAAAACUGAACCCAUAGGAAGGUUAAGCUUUAGUGACAGAGCUGGACUAGACUCCAGUGCCAGGGUGAGAGGUUUGCCCAAACAUCCCUGACCUGUAUAAAAUCUGUCAGCAGCUUAGCGCGAUGAAGGUCAGAUAACUCACCGGCUGCAACGCUUGAGAGCCCUUACUGUGGUCCUUUACCGUGUCCAGGUGCUGCCGGUGGGGGACAGGGAAAGAGAUCACAACGAAGACCCAGAAGAAACAAAAGGCAAGCGAAUGUGGGACCUUUCCCACCUUCGCAGUCCAGGAUGGUGGACACCGUCCUCUCACAAGAGGUUUGAAAGCUGUGAUGUCCUGUCUUCCUUUCCUCUCAUGGAAUGAAAAGUCAUUUUUGCCAGAAUAUUAUACCUGCAAGAUCUCAAGGGGAGGAGGCUGCAGCCCAGCCGCCAGAGAUUUUUGCCUACAGAAAGCUUUUUUUUUUUUUUUUUUUUUCAUCCCAAAGACAGACUUGUAUAGCCUCUCCAAGUCCCCUUGAAUUUUUAAGAGCGAGAAAGAAAAGCCCAAAAGGGGAAGGUGUUCCAGUUGCCUGCUGAAAGGGUGCCAGGAUCUGUGUGAUUUCCCGUGCUGCAACCUACUGUGCCAGCUGACAACAGCACUGCCCAGGAAUCUCCUGGCCUGGCUCCCUGUUUCUGACCCCUGUUU
rnacentral:lncRNA from 1 species